CCCGGGGCUCCGCCUCCGUCUCCUCCCGGAGCGCCGUCCCUACCCGACCCGCUGCGCCCGCCUCCUCCGCCCCUGGCUGAGCACCGCCCCCAGACCUUCCCGGGUCACCCUUCCUCCGGGCCGCCCACGCCCCAUCUGGACGCUUUCCGGGACCCUUAGGCAUCUCUGGGGCUGCUGUAGAGUCCCCCGUACAAGCGCUGCGGUUGUAGAUGGCCACAAGGGGUUAACUCCGGGCGAAGACCGCCAUGGCGCCACGUGGCACUGAUGACAAAGGAAACUUCUUCCUGCACGUGCCGAACCUGGCUCUCAACCAUCCUCGCUCCUUCGAGCUCUUAGGCACUCAUUGCAUUUUCAGGGUCCUAAGCAGGAAUUAAAGGACUCCAGUCAGCAGUCUCUGGUCAGCGGAAGGAGCCUGUAUUCCAUCAGUUUAAGUGAGGGGACAACCCAAGAGCUUUAAACUUCCAAAAAUGGCCAAGCUAAUCCUGGAAUUUCAGAAAUCGCAAGAGCUCCGGGAGGUUUGCUGACUGCAAACAAACUGAAGAGGAUGGAAAGUUCCCACAGGGAAGCUGAUGUAUCUAUCCCCAAAGGGGUCAGGCUUGCUAGGAGGAGACCACACAGUUAAAGUUAAGACGGGGCUGUGGGCUGUCUGAGGCCCCAUCCCACUCUCUGAUUUUCAAAAGAUUAACAGGUCUUAGGUAACCAUGAUGUCCAAUUCUGAAAAGGCAACUAAAUACCAACCGUGGCUUAGUUGUCUCUAAAGUAGCCCUUGCCUAACGCUAAAGCCAAGUGCAGAAAUGACUUGAAUUCCUUGAUAUAAGUGGAAUGUCACAAAUGUGGCAGGCUCCGUAAUAAAAUAUACAACCGCU